GGCGACCAUACCGGCGGGGCCACACCCGUUCCCAUUCCGAACACGGCCGUUAAGCCCGCCGGGCCCAUGAUAGU
rnacentral:rRNA from 1 species